rnacentral:lncRNA from 1 species
AAGAAGAGUUUGAGAAUCUUGAAGCUCCAAAGCUAGAGGAGUCAAAAGAAAACAAGAGCCAUGAAAUUUCUGGAACCAUCAAAGCAAUAGAAGCUAAGGGUGAUCAGUCUCUAGCAGUUGAAACACCAGAGGCAAAUCAGACUCCAUCCUUUGUUUCAGAACUAGAAGACAAAAUUCCAAAGCAAAUUGAGGACAUUCAUGAAGAAGAAACAAAGGAAACACAAGAUUUACAAGUUGUGGUUGAUCGGAAUCUUCCAGUUGAAACAUCACAGAAAGAGCAGACUCCGACCUUGAUUUCAGAACAUGAUGAACUGCAGACUUCAAAGAAAGUUGAGGAGAUUCAUCAAGAAGAAACAAAGGCACACAAGUUGCAAGAAGAAGAAAAUCUCCCUACCGAAAUUGUUCCAAGAGAAUUCAGAGAAGAUUCAGUUUCCACA